rnacentral:rRNA from 1 species
GACGAACGCUGGCGGCGUGCCUAAUACAUGCAAGUUGAGCGCUGAAGGUUGGUACUUGUACCAACUGGAUGAGCAGCGAACGGGUGAGUAACGCGUGGGGAAUCUGCCUUUGAGCGGGGGACAACAUUUGGAAACGAAUGCUAAUACCGCAUAAAAACUUUAAACACAAGUUUUAAGUUUGAAAGAUGCAAUUGCAUCACUCAAAGAUGAUCCCGCGUUGUAUUAGCUAGUUGGUGAGGUAAAGGCUCACCAAGGCGAUGAUACAUAGCCGACCUGAGAGGGUGAUCGGCCACAUUGGGACUGAGACAAGGCCCAAACUCCUACGAGAGGCAGCAGCAGGGAAUCUUCGGCAAUGGACGAAAGUCUGACCGAGCAACGCCGCGUGAGUGAAGAAGGUUUUCGGAUCGUAAAACUCUGUUGGUAGAGAAGAACGUUGGUGAGAGUGGAAAGCUCAUCAAGUGACGGUAACUACCCAGAAAGGGACGGCUAACUACGAG